rnacentral:rRNA from 1 species
AGCGAACGCUGGCGGCAGGCCUAACACAUGCAAGUCGAACGAACUCUUCGGAGUUAGUGGCGGACGGGUGAGUAACACGUGGGAACGUGCCUUUAGGUUCGGAAUAACUCAGGGAAACUCGUGCUAAUACCGAAUGUGCCCUUCGGGGGAAAGAUUUAUCGCCUUUAGAGCGGCCCGCGUCUGAUUAGCUAGUUGGUGAGGUAAAGGCUCACCAAGGCGACGAUCAGUAGCUGGUCUGAGAGGAUGAUCAGCCACAUUGGGACUGAGACACGGCCCAAACUCCUACGGGAGGCAGCAGUGGGGAAUCUUGCGCAAUGGGCGAAAGCCUGACGCAGCCAUGCCGCGUGAAUGAUGAAGGUCUUAGGAUUGUAAAAUUCUUUCACCGGGGACGAUAAUGACGGUACCCGGAGAAGAAGCCCCGGCUAACUUCGUG